rnacentral:tRNA from 1 species
GGGGCGAUAGCUCAGUUGGGAGAGCACCUGCCUUACAAGCAGGGGGUCUCUGGUUCGAGCCCGGAUCGCUCCACCA